rnacentral:rRNA from 1 species
GCCUGCCCGGUGACGAUAUGUUAAACGGCCGCGGUAUACUGACCGUGCCAAGGUAGCGCAAUCACUUGCCCUUUAAAUGGGGGCCCGUAUGAAUGGCAUCACGAGGGCUAAUCUGUCUCCUUUUUCCAGUCAAUGAAAUUGAUCUCCCCGUGCAGAAGCGGGGAUAAACCCAUAAGACGAGAAGACCCUGUGGAGCUUUAGAUACUAAGAUUGAUCCUCUUAAUAUACACAAAAUAAAGGUAUCUAAAUAAGGAAUACAAUCCGACUAUCUUUGGUUGGGGCGACCGCGGGGAUUAAAAGAACCCCCACGUGGACCAGGAAUAAAAAUUUUAUCCUCAUUCCUACAAUCAAGAGUUACCACUCUAAUUAACAGAACUUCUGACCAAAAAUGAUCCGACAAAGUCGAUCAACGGACCGAGUUACCCCAGGGAUAACAGCGCAAUCCCCUUUAAGAGUUCUUAUCGACAAGGGGGUUUACGACCUCGAUGUUGGAUCAGGACAUCCCAUUGGCGUAGAAGCUAUUAAGGGUUCGUUUGUUCAACG